AUGACUUAUGAUUCUUCCACUUUGACCUCCGUUCAACCUGUCGAGUCUCAUGUUCGUGUUCUUAUGGCUGAUGGCACUCCCCUCCCUGUAGCUAGUCGAGGCACUCUUAACACUUCUUCAUUUCAUGUUCCCUCUGUCGCUCAUGUUCCUCGACUUACCAUGCAGCUCAUAUCUGGUGGUCAGAUUGUUGACUCUAGUUGUAGGGUCAUUCUCGACUUCGACUCAUGUUCUGUCCAGGAUCGUCGCACGGGCACUCUUCUUGGUGCUGGCCCUCGACGCUCUGAUGGUCUCUGGGAGCUUGAUUGGCUUCAUCUUCCCUCCGCUGCCACCGCCACCAGUAUCGCAACCCCUAUAGCUACAUCUACCAGCUCUUUUCUGCAAUGGCAUCAUCGUCUUGGCCAUUUAUGUGGUUCUCGUCUCUCGUCUUUGGUUCAUCGUGGUGUUUUGGGGUCUGUCUUCGGUAACGCUUCGUUGGAUUGUCUGGGUUGUAGGCUUGGUAAGCAGAUUCAGCUAUCCUACCCUCACAGUGAGUCAGUGUCCGAGCGUCCUUUUGGUCUGGUUCACUCGGAUGUUUGGGGUCCGGCUCCCUUCGCUUCAAAAGGGGGUCAUCACUACUAUAUUAUCUUUAUAGACGAUUUUUCUUGA
rnacentral:rRNA from 1 species